rnacentral:rRNA from 1 species
GAACCGUACGAACGUUAUUCGGAAUUACUGGGCUUAAAGGGUGCGUAGGCGGCUUGGAAAGUUGGGUGUGAAAUCCCUCGGGCUCAACCGAGGGAAUGGCGCCCAAAACUGCCAGGCUUGAGGGAGACAGAGGUGAGUGGAACUUAGGGUGGAGCGGUGAAAUGCGUUGAUAUCCUAAGGAACACCAGUGGCGAAAGCGACUCACUGGGUCUCUUCUGACGCUGAGGCACGAAAGCUAGGGGAGCGAACGGGAUUAGAUACCCCGGUAGUCCUAGCUGUAAACGAUGAGCACUGGGUCGGAGAGCCUCCCAUAGCUUUCCGGCCGAAGCGAAAGUGUUAAGUGCUCCGCCUGGGGAGUAUGGUCGCAAAGGCUGA